GAUGAACGCUGGCGGCGUGCUUAAUACAUGCAAGUCGAACGGAGACUGUAGCAAUACUGUCUUAGUGGCGAACGGGUGAGUAACGCGUUGGUGACCUGCCCCGAAGAGGGGGAUAACAGUCCGAAAGGAUUGCUAAUACCCCAUGUGGUCGUUUGGAUUAGAUGCCUUAUGACUAAACGGAUUUAUUCGCUUCGGGAGGGGCCUGCGUCCCAUCAGCUAGUUGGUGAGGUAAUAGCUUACCAAGGCGAUGACGGGUAGGGGACCUGAGAGGGUGGCCCCCCACAAUGGAACUGAAACACGGUCCAUACACCUACGGGUGGCAGCAGUAGGGAAUAUUGGUAAUCUGGGAAACCGGGAACUAGCAACGCCGCGUGCGCGAUGACGGCCUUCGGGUUGUAAAGCGCUUUUUAAAGGGAUGAGGAAGGACAGUACCUUUAGAAUAAGCCUCGGCUAACUACGUG
rnacentral:rRNA from 1 species